GGAGGGGGGCGGGGGAGGGGAGGUGGCGGGGCUGCGCGUCGUGCUCGCCAAGCGAGAAUAAUAGAGGUGUCCUUUCUUUGGAACGCUGCCCCGGGUCGCCGAGGCGGGCUGCCCUGGGUGCGCGGCCGCGGACAAACAAAGGGCCCCGGCGCGGCAGCUCCUUGUCCCGGGCUGCGCGGAGUGGUAACCAUGGCAACGGCCUUUGCUCUUUCUCAAGCCCUUUGAUUUGUCUUCAACAUGAUUUUGACUGAAGUCUGCAUGGAAGAUUUUAUUCAUUCAUUCAUGAGAGACACAGAGAGAGGGUCCGAGACACAGGCAGAGGGAGAAGCAGGCUCCACGCAGGGAGCCCGACGCGGGACUCAAUUCUGGGAUUCCAGGAUCACGCCCUGAGCCGAAGGCAGGCGCUAAACCGCUGAACCACCCAGGCGCAUCCGGAUGACCACAUUUCCACUUCAAAAUAGCAUAGUUUGGUGAUAAGGAGACAGUGAAUGAGACCACAUAUUUAAAAUGUGGUGUGUACAUGAAGCACCGCACUUUUGAUAUUUUAUUUCUGUACUUAAUAAAGAAUGGAAAAGAAAAUUGA